CAUGCAAGUCGAACGAGAAUCUUUGGAAUGAUUCUUUCGGGAUGAAUUCCAAAGAGGAAAGUGGCGGACGGGCGAGUAACGCGUGAGUAACCUGCCCAUAAGAGGGGGAUAAUCCAUGGAAACGUGGACUAAUACCGCAUAUUGUAGUUAAGUUGCAUGACUUGAUUAUGAAAGAUUUAUCGCUUAUGGAUGGACUCGCGUCAGAUUAGAUAGUUGGUGAGGUAACGGCUCACCAAGUCAACGAUCUGUAGCCGAACUGAGAGGUUGAUCGGCCGCAUUGGGACUGAGACACGGCCCAGACUCCUACGGGAGGCAGCAGUGGGGAAUAUUGCGCAAUGGGGGCAACCCUGACGCAGCAACGCCGCGUGCAGGAAGAAGGUCUUCGGAUUGUAAACUGUUGUCGCAAGGGAAGAAGACAGUGACGGUACCUUGUGAGAAAGUCACGGCUAACUACGUGCCAGCAGCCGCGGUAAUACGUAGGUGACAAGCGUUGUCCGGAUUUACUGGGUGUAAAGGGCGCGUAGGCGGACUGUCAAGUCAGUCGUGAAAUACCGGGGCUUAACCCCGGGGCUGCGAUUGAAACUGACAGCCUUGAGUAUCGGAGAGGAAAGCGGAAUUCCUAGUGUAGCGGUGAAAUGCGUAGAUAUUAGGAGGAACACCAGUGGCGAAGGCGGCUUUCUGGACGACA
rnacentral:rRNA from 1 species